GGAAGUUAAAAAACGUAACAAGGUUUCCGUAGGUGAACCUGCGGAAGGAUCAUUACCGAGUGUAGGGUUCCUAGCGAGCCCAACCUCCCACCCGUGUUUACUGUACCUUAGUUGCUUCGGCGGGCCCGCCAUUCAUGGCCGCCGGGGGCUCUCAGCCCCGGGCCCGCGCCCGCCGGAGACACCACGAACUCUGUCUGAUCUAGUGAAGUCUGAGUUGAUUGUAUCGCAAUCAGUUAAAACUUUCAACAAUGGAUCUCUUGGUUCCGGCAUCGAUGAAGAACGCAGCGAAAUGCGAUAACUAGUGUGAAUUGCAGAAUUCCGUGAAUCAUCGAGUCUUUGAACGCACAUUGCGCCCCCUGGUAUUCCGGGGGGCAUGCCUGUCCGAGCGUCAUUGCUGCCCAUCAAGCACGGCUUGUGUGUUGGGUCGUCGUCCCCUCUCCGGGGGGGACGGGCCCCAAAGGCAGCGGCGGCACCGCGUCCGAUCCUCGAGCGUAUGGGGCUUUGUCACCCGCUCUGUAGGCCCGGCCGGCGCUUGCCGAACGCAAAUCAAUCUUUCCAGGUGACCUCUAGCACCAAGUACUCGUGCC
rnacentral:rRNA from 1 species